rnacentral:rRNA from 1 species
CCUACGGGUGGCAGCAGUGAGGAAUAUUGGUCAAUGGGCGCGAGCCUGAACCAGCCAAGUCGCGUGAGGGAAGACGGUCCUAUGGAUUGUAAACCUCUUUUGUCGGGGAGCAAAAGACGCCACGCGUGGCGUUCCGAGAGUACCCGAAGAAAAAGCAUCGGCUAACUGCGUGCCGGCAGCCGCGGUAAUACGGAGGAUGCGAGCGUUAUCCGGAUUUAUUGGGUUUAACGGGUGCGCAGGCGGAAGAGCAAGUCAGCGGUAAAAUUGAGAGGCUUAACCUCUUCGAGCCGUUGAAACUGGUGUUCUUGAGUGAGUGAGAGGUAUGCGGAAUGCGUGGUGUAGCGGUGAAAUGCAUAGAUAUCACGCAGAACUCCGAUUGCGAAGGCAGCAUACCGGCGCUCAACUGACGCUCAUGCACGAAAGUGUGGGUAUCGAACAGGAUUAGAUACCCGAGUAGUC